rnacentral:rRNA from 1 species
AGUGAACGCUGGCGGCAGGCCUAACACAUGCAAGUCGAACGGCAGCACAGAGGAGCUUGCUCCUUGGUGGCGAGUGGCGGACGGGUGAGGAAUACAUCGGAAUCUGCCCAGUCGUGGGGGAUAACAUAGGGAAACUUAUGCUAAUACCGCAUACGACCUACGGGUGAAAGCGGGGGAUCGCAAGACCUCGCGCGAUUGGAUGAGCCGAUGUCCGAUUAGCUAGUUGGCGGGGUAAUGGCCCACCAAGGCGACGAUCGGUAGCUGGUCUGAGAGGAUGAUCAGCCACACUGGAACUGAGACACGGUCCAGACUCCUACGGGAGGCAGCAGUGGGGAAUAUUGGACAAUGGGCGCAAGCCUGAUCCAGCCAUGCCGCGUGGGUGAAGAAGGCCUUCGG